rnacentral:rRNA from 1 species
AUUGAACGCUGGCGGCAGGCCUAACACAUGCAAGUCGAGCGGAUGAGGGGAGCUUGCUCCUGGAUUCAGCGGCGGACGGGUGAGUAAUGCCUAGGAAUCUGCCUGGUAGUGGGGGAUAACGUCCGGAAACGAGCGCUAAUACCGCAGACGUCCUGAGGGAGAAAGUGGGGGAUCUUCGGACCUCACGCUAUCAUAUGAGCCUAGGUCGGGUUAGCUAGUUGGUGGGGUAAAGGCCUACCAAGGCGACGAUCCGUAACUGGUCUGAGAGGAUGAUCAGUCACCUGAGAAGUGAGACAGGGACCACACUACUGAGGGAGGGCGCAGUGGGGAAUGUUGGGCAAUGGGGGAAAACCUUAUACAGGCAUGGGGCGCGUGUGGAAAAGGGCUUCCGAGUGUGAAGCACGUCAAGGUGGGGGGAAGGGCAGUAAGUUGAUACCAUGCUGGAUUGACGGUACCAGGAGAAUAAGCACCGGCUAACUACGUG